AUUGAACGCUGGCGGCAGGCCUAACACAUGCAAGUCGAACGAGCGGCGGACGGGUGAGUAAUGUCUGGGAAACUGCCUGAUGGAGGGGGAUAACUACUGGCAACGGUAGCUAAUACCGCAUACCAUCAGAUGUGCCCAGAUGGGAUUAGCUAGUAGGUGGGGUAAUGGCUCACCAAGGCGACGAUCCCUAGCUGGUCUGAGAGGAGGACCAGACACACUGGAACUGAGAAACGGUACAGACUCUGACGGGAGGCAGCAGUGGGGAAUAUUGAACAAUGGGCGCAAGCCGGAUGCAGCCAUGCCGCGUGUGGGAAGAAGGCCUUCGGGUUGGAAAGUACUUUCAGCGGGGAGGCGUUACGCGCAGAAGAAGCACCGGCUAACUCCGUGCCAGCAGCCGCGGUAAUUC
rnacentral:rRNA from 1 species